AGGACCGCGUUGGAGAAGCAGGGCACGUGCAUGCAUAUGUGUUCAUCUUCUUCCUCUUCUCCGGCCUUGUACCCUUGUGUGGAAUUGGAGGUUUAGAACUCGCACUGCACGUGGUCUCCUUCUCCAUCCCGGUUUU
rnacentral:pre_miRNA from 1 species